rnacentral:rRNA from 1 species
UGGGGAAUAUUGCACAAUGGGCGAAAGUCUGACGGAGCGACGCCGCGUGGAUGAUGAAGGCCGAAAGGUUGUAAAGUCCUUUUGCUGGGGAAGAAUAAGCGUGGGAGGGAAUGCCCGCGUGAUGACAUGAACCGGCGAAUAAGCCCCGGCUAACUACGUGCCAGCAGCCGCGGUAACACGUAGGGGGCAAGCGUUGUUCGGAAUUACUGGGCGUAAAGGGCAUGUAGGCGGCCUUGUAAGCUUGGCGUGAAAGUCCACGGCUUAACCGUGGGAUUGCGUUGAGAACUGCGAGGCUUGAGUGACGGAGAGGGAGCUAGAAUCCCUGGUGUAGGGGUGGAAUCUGUAGAGAUCAGGAAGAAUACCAAUGGCGAAGGCAAGCUCCUGGCCGAUGACUGACGCCGAGGUGCGAAAGUGUGGGGAUCAAACA